AAAUGAAUGCCCAUGAUGUUAUGUACCAGCCUAUGUUAACACCAUCUUUGUUUUUUGUAUUGAAAGUGACUUUGACCCACUUCUGUUGAGGCAAAUAUCACGAUCAUUCCAUUGCAUUUCAUUUGGUGGAGAAUUUAACUUAAAAUGUAAGAACAACAACAACAACAACAACAACAACAACAAAAACAUGACCAAAUGACUCCCAGAGUGGACUGAGUCUUUGAAAAGCCCAAUCACCAUUCCAGUCUUCAGGACAGGUGAAAACUCGAUAUACUUUUUUCUCCUUAGAAUCCAGGUAGAGAAAUUUUUAUAAUCUGCUUUAAAACUUCCUCUAGCCAUUAGCAAGAUUUCCAAGAGAUGGGUUUCUCUUCAUGAAACUGCAUUUG
rnacentral:lncRNA from 1 species